AUUGAACGCUGGCGGCAGGCCUAACACAUGCAAGUCGAGCGGAGCGGCGGACGGGUGAGUAAUGCCUAGGAAUCUGCCCGGUAGUGGGGGAUAACGUCCGGAUACGGGCCCUAAUACCGCAUCCUAUCAGAUGCGCCUCGGUCGGAUCAGCGAUUUGGUGGGGUAAAGGCCUACAAAGGCGACGAUCCGUACCUGGUCUGAGAGGAUGUUCAGUCAAACUGGAACUGAGACACGGUCCAGACUCCUACGGGAGGCAGAAGUGGGGAAGAUGGGACAAUGGGCGAAAGCCUGAUCCAGCAAGGCCGGGGGUGGGAAGAAGGUCUUCGGAUUGUAAAGCACUUUAAGUGGGGAGGCGUUACCCGCAGAAGAAGCACCGGCUAACUCCGUGCCAGCAGCCGCGGUAAUAC
rnacentral:rRNA from 1 species